rnacentral:rRNA from 1 species
UUAAGCGACUAAGCGUACACGGUGGAUGCCCUGGCAGUCAGAGGCGAUGAAGGACGUGCUAAUCUGCGAUAAGCGUCGGUAAGGUGAUAUGAACCGUUAUAACCGGCGAUUUCCGAAUGGGGAAACCCAGUGUGUUUCGACACACUAUCAUUAACUGAAUCCAUAGGUUAAUGAGGCGAACCGGGGGAACUGAAACAUCUAAGUACCCCGAGGAAAAGAAAUCAACCGAGAUUCCCCCAGUAGCGGCGAGCGAACGGGGAGCAGCCCAGAGCCUGAAUCAGUGUGUGUGUUAGUGGAAGCGUCUGGAAAGGCGCGCGAUACAGGGUGACAGCCCCGUACACAAAAAUGCACAUGCUGUGAGCUCGAUGAGUAGGGCGGGACACGUGGUAUCCUGUCUGAAUAUGGGGGGACCAUCCUCCAAGGCUAAAUACUCCUGACUGACCGAUAGUGAACCAGUACCGUGAGGGAAAGGCGAAAAGAACCCCGGCGAGGGGAGUGAAAAAGAACCUGAAACCGUGUACGUACAAGCAGUGGGAGCACGCUUAGGCGUGUGACUGCGUACCUUUUGUAUAAUGGGUCAGCGACUUAUAUUCUGUAGCAAGGUUAACCGAAUAGGGGAGCCGAAGGGAAACCGAGUCUUAACUGGGCGUUAAGUUGCAGGGUAUAGACCCGAAACCCGGUGAUCUAGCCAUGGGCAGGUUGAAGGUUGGGUAACACUAACUGGAGGACCGAACCGACUAAUGUUGAAAAAUUAGCGGAUGACUUGUGGCUGGGGGUGAAAGGCCAAUCAAACCGGGAGAUAGCUGGUUCUCCCCGAAAGCUAUUUAGGUAGCGCCUCGUGAAUUCAUCUCCGGGGGUAGAGCACUGUUUCGGCAAGGGGGUCAUCCCGACUUACCAACCCGAUGCAAACUGCGAAUACCGGAGAAUGUUAUCACGGGAGACACACGGCGGGUGCUAACGUCCGUCGUGAAGAGGGAAACAACCCAGACCGCCAGCUAAGGUCCCAAAGUCAUGGUUAAGUGGGAAACGAUGUGGGAAGGCCCAGACAGCCAGGAUGUUGGCUUAGAAGCAGCCAUCAUUUAAAGAAAGCGUAAUAGCUCACUGGUCGAGUCGGCCUGCGCGGAAGAUGUAACGGGGCUAAACCAUGCACCGAAGCUGCGGCAGCGACGCUUAUGCGUUGUUGGGUAGGGGAGCGUUCUGUAAGCCUGCGAAGGUGUGCUGUGAGGCAUGCUGGAGGUAUCAGAAGUGCGAAUGCUGACAUAAGUAACGAUAAAGCGGGUGAAAAGCCCGCUCGCCGGAAGACCAAGGGUUCCUGUCCAACGUUAAUCGGGGCAGGGUGAGUCGACCCCUAAGGCGAGGCCGAAAGGCGUAGUCGAUGGGAAACAGGUUAAUAUUCCUGUACUUGGUGUUACUGCGAAGGGGGGACGGAGAAGGCUAUGUUGGCCGGGCGACGGUUGUCCCGGUUUAAGCGUGUAGGCUGGUUUUCCAGGCAAAUCCGGAAAAUCAAGGCUGAGGCGUGAUGACGAGGCACUACGGUGCUGAAGCAACAAAUGCCCUGCUUCCAGGAAAAGCCUCUAAGCAUCAGGUAACAUCAAAUCGUACCCCAAACCGACACAGGUGGUCAGGUAGAGAAUACCAAGGCGCUUGAGAGAACUCGGGUGAAGGAACUAGGCAAAAUGGUGCCGUAACUUCGGGAGAAGGCACGCUGAUAUGUAGGUGAAGUCCCUCGCGGAUGGAGCUGAAAUCAGUCGAAGAUACCAGCUGGCUGCAACUGUUUAUUAAAAACACAGCACUGUGCAAACACGAAAGUGGACGUAUACGGUGUGACGCCUGCCCGGUGCCGGAAGGUUAAUUGAUGGGGUUAGCGCAAGCGAAGCUCUUGAUCGAAGCCCCGGUAAACGGCGGCCGUAACUAUAACGGUCCUAAGGUAGCGAAAUUCCUUGUCGGGUAAGUUCCGACCUGCACGAAUGGCGUAAUGAUGGCCAGGCUGUCUCCACCCGAGACUCAGUGAAAUUGAACUCGCUGUGAAGAUGCAGUGUACCCGCGGCAAGACGGAAAGACCCCGUGAACCUUUACUAUAGCUUGACACUGAACAUUGAGCCUUGAUGUGUAG